GAUGAAGAACGCAGUAAAAUGCGAUAAGUAAUGUGAAUUGCAGAAUUCAGUGAAUCAUCGAAUCUUUGAACGCACAUUGCGCCCGCCAGUAUUCUGGCGGGCAUGCCUGUUCGAGCGUCAUUUCAACCCUCAAGCACAGCUUGGUGUUGGGACUCGCGUUAAUUCGCGUUCCUCAAAUUGAAUGGCGGUCACGUCGAGCUUCCAUAGCGUAGUAGUAAAACCCUCGUUACUGGUAAUCGUCGCGGCCACGCCGUUAAACCCCAACUUCUGAAUGUUGACCUCGGAUCAGGUAGGAAUACCCGCUGAACUUAAGCAUAUCAAUAAGCGGAGGA
rnacentral:misc_RNA from 1 species